rnacentral:rRNA from 1 species
GUGGGGAAUAUUGGACAAUGGGCGAAAGCCUGAUCCAGCCAUGCCGCGUGUGUGAAGAAGGUCUUCGGAUUGUAAAGCACUUUAAGUUGGGAGGAAGGGCAGUAAGUUAAUACCUUGCUGUUUUGACGUUACCAACAGAAUAAGCACCGGCUAACUUCGUGCCAGCAGCCGCGGUAAUACGAAGGGUGCAAGCGUUAAUCGGAAUUACUGGGCGUAAAGCGCGCGUAAGUGGUUUUGUAAGUUGGAGGUGAAAUCCCCGGGCUCAACCUGGGAACUGCCUCCAAAACUGCAUGACUAGAGUACGGUAGAGGGUAGUGGAAUUUCCUGUGUAGCGGUGAAAUGCGUAGAUAUAGGAAGGAACACCAGUGGCGAAGGCGACUACCUGGACUGAUACUGACACUGAGGUGCGAAAGCGUGGGGAGCAAACAGGAUUAGAAACCCGUGUAGUCC